rnacentral:lncRNA from 1 species
GGCAGAAACUGGUCCUGCAGACCUGAACCGCCGUCGUCUCCGUUCUGGCCCCUGGAGCGCGGAGCUGGUGGGAGGCGGUAUGAGCCACGUUCACGCACAGGGUUCUCCGUGGCUCUCCUUGUCCCUGGCCUUCCCACCCCUGGACCCCAAGAGCAGUGCUCAGACUUGGGCGUCGGUCUGGGGGCCUGGGGACUUGCUGAGUCCUGGACACCGGGUCCUGCCCUGCGGCUCCAGGUCACCACCACCUCCAGAGCGCACACCUGCUCUGGCCAAGACGGGACACGAACCCCUGCCUCCGUGGUGUUAACCUGCAGCACCCAGCCCUGCCCUCUGUCAGGGCUCCGGGAGCUCACGCCGCAUGGACCAAGCCUAACCUGCUCACGGGCUCACUUGCGGAGGAGAGGCGAGAAUCUCUCGCCUUGCCUGGGGCCAGCAGGGACCACAUGGCGAGGACACCGGAAGCCUGGGCUCACCGGGCAGCGCUGGCGGCGUCUCCCCAGGCCUUUCCCGCCGUCACCUCUGAUGCUCGGGUGCAGAGCUGCCCACGGGCUGCGCCUGGACGGGUGUUUGUCCCCCACCCACCCCCGGUCUCUGUGGCUCCUCUUUGCAUGUGGGGACGGCGGGGCCCCUGGUUUAAAACGUCCGUGUGACACUGCGGGUAACACCGCUGGAGACCCAAAGUCGUCAUUUCACAAGUGUCCUUGGUCUUCCUUCGGCUCGAGGUGGGUGAUUGGAAUUGUGGCGUCAGAAACGCAGAAACAAAGUGCACGCAAGCCUUUGGCGCUGUGCCCGGAGAGCACUUUCUACAGGAUUCUCCUCGCCCGUCGCUCCUCCGCGGACAGUGUGAAUAUUACAUACAGCCAAGAAUCAGAAUCCUGCAGCCUGGCCGAAGUCGAAUCAAGGUGUUCCUCCAGAAUUGCGUUUUGUCCAUUGUGAAAGAGGUUUUAUGCUGCUUGCUACUGGCAUUCUUGGCCGCCUCUGAAAGAUUGUAGAAAACCUGCGUCUCAGAGAAUGGUGAGGUUGAGCAGCUAAAUUCUCUUUGUGUGUGUGUGUCUGUCUUUUUAGGGCCACACCUAAAAAGGCAUAUGGGG